ACUGCCUUGAAGUGGGCACAGCAGGGAGCCAGCAAAGAUGGGUGGGAGGGGUCCAACAUGUGGCAUGCAUAAAACAGUACUGGGCAGCAGAUGUUUUAAACUGCAAUCCACCAUUAGGUGUGCUAUCUUGAGCUGCUAGUGUCUGUACAGAAAAGCAUCCAAAGGACCACUAAGUAUUGGAACACUAUAAAUCCUCUCCAAGCAUCUGAAGAAAUCAGUUCAUUCUGCAAAAGCUUAUGCUACAGUAUCUUUUCUCAAAGAUGCUACAAGAUCCCUUUGCGUGCUGGUAUUCCAGACUAACAUGGCUAUAGCCUCACUGGGUUCAAAACUGUCUUAGAAGUAGACUGAAUUUUAACAUAAACUAGUAGGUUCAAAUUUGGCUAGCACAAAGACCAAGUGAUUAUUAGUCAAAUUCUCUUGCUGGGCUGUGGGAAAGGCUCAAGGCAAAACUUCAUGUUACAUUAUUCAUGUUUUUUUAAAAGUGUACUUAAUGCUGCUGCUCUUUCACCAGGAAGAAAAAUAACAAUUCAUGGUUAUUUUGCUGUGCUGUAUCCUUUUCUUCAUCUCCCUACCUGUUUCCAACCCAGAUUUUGCAGGCAGUCUGUAAAGGCACAAGUAUUCCAGGAGGAAGCAAUUAUACAAAAUAAAGGGCAUUGUUUAUGUAACUUAUUAACACUAGUCAUGUGUUCUUGACAUAAUUUGGAUGGUCUUAUUGGGGCUUCACACCAAGUGUAUUCAGGCCUGGUGACAAGUGUUCCAGCUGGCAUCUUUGGUGGAACUGCCCUAUGAGUCUCCACUUAGUAGAUGGAAACAGAAGGGGAGUGUGGUGGAGGCUCCUUCUUUGGAGGCUUUUAAGCAGAGGCUGGAUGGCCAUCUGUUGGGGGUGCUUUGAACGAGAUUUUCCUGCUUCUGGACUGGAUGGCCCAUGCGGUCUCUUCCUAUUCUAUGAUUCUAUGAAUUUGGUAUGACCUCAAAUAUACACUCUGCACAUCUGUACAGGGUUUCCUGGGUUGCAUUCCAUGAUACAGACAAUAGUCAAGUGGCCAGUGAGUUUAGUUUUCGAUGUGCAUUUCUUAUUUCUUUUUCACAGUGAUGUGAAAGCCUUAGAAAUUUGGAGUCGGGUCAAGAGUGGGUUUUUCUGGAUUAUGGAUCCUUUGUUACCAGAAAAUGUUCUUGAAAAGAUUGGAGUAUCCCACAAAAUCAAUAUGCAGGAGGAUCUUGUAGCACCUUAGAGACUAAGUGAAUGAACAAAAGCAUAAGCUUUCAUAGAUGGAUCUUGCUUCCUCAGAUGUAUCUCAGACUAUCCCAGACUAAAAUUUUUGUCUUUGACAAAAAAAAAAAUUGUGGUGCUCUUUGGCAGUCUGGUGCAGAAUAAGUAUGAUACGGAUGUGUGAUUCUGUUUGGCAGCUGUAUUUAUUUGCCUCUUGUCUUUCCGUGCUUUCUCUCACUUGUGAUUUUAAGAUUAUUACAAUUUUCCUAUUUUUUUUAGCAACAUGGGAGAGAAAAUUUGAAAUGGGGGAUAGAGAGUAAUUUGGACUAGCAGAACAAAUAAGGGAUGGCCUCUAUUUCAUAAUGUAUCAAUUUCAUGUAGUGUCAUUGUUGUUGCUGUGGUGGUUGUUAUUCCAUUUAUACUUCAUCUGUCUUCAUUAGCAUUCAUAAUUACUAAUACUUACGUGUAAAACCACUGCCAACAUUACAAAUUGCAAGUACUGAAAACUAAAUAAUAAAUUACAUCUAUCUCGUAAUGUAGAUAAAAACUAUUCAAAAGGAUAGCAAUUACAAAAUUAAAAUUUAGGCUGUGAUCCAAUUUACCUGUGGUAUCUUGCUAAGCUCUGAUGGCAUAGUUCCAAAUAGGAUCACCUAUGCAGUGUGAUGGGCAUGCCAAUCUCUACAAUUGACUCAUACGUGGGUGAAGCCUGUUGUAUUGAACUGCUUCUUUAAAGUGGUGGUUAUCACUUGCUUAGGGAGGUGUUGGAUAUGUUUGUUUGAGCAUUUGUUUUCGCCACAUUCAUCUACAAUCAAACAACGUAAAUUUUGCACAGUCACUAGGCACAGGUCUCAAUCAUUCCCCUAAAGUGUUAUAUUUAUUUAUU